ACGAACGCUGGCGGCGUGCCUAAUACAUGCAAGUCGAACGGUCUUUCUAUGGAAGCUUGCUUCCACUGAGAAGAUAGUGGCGAACGGGUGAGUAACACGUGGGUAACCUGCCCAUAAGAGGGGGAUAACAUCCGGAAACGGGUGCUAAUACCGCAUAGUUUUCUUGAUCGCAUGAUCGGGAAAGGAAAGACGGCCUUUGUGCUGUCGCUUAUGGAUGGACCCGCGGCGUAUUAGUUAGUUGGUGAGGUAACGGCUCACCAAGACGAUGAUACGUAGCCGACCUGAGAGGGUGAUCGGCCACAUUGGGACUGAGACACGGCCCAAACUCCUACGGGAGGCAGCAGUAGGGAAUCUUCCGCAGUGGACGAAAGUCUGACGGAGCAACGCCGCGUGAGUGAAGAAGGUUUUCGGAAUCGUAAAACUCUGUUGUCAGAGAAGAAUAAGUUGGAGAGUAACUGCUCCAGCCUUGACGGUAUCUGACCAGAAAGCCACGGCUAACUACGUGCCAGCAGCAGC
rnacentral:rRNA from 1 species